rnacentral:rRNA from 1 species
AAAUUUUUGGUUAAGUUACUAAGGGCACACGGUGGAUGCCUUGGCACAAGAAGACGAUGAAGGACGCGGCUACCUGCGAUAAGCCACGGUGAGGUGGAAGCAACCUAAGACCCGUGGAUCUCCGAAUGGGGAAACCCUACCAUCUUAAUAGAUGGUAACUACCAGCUGAAUACAUAGGCUGGUUAGAGACAACCCAGGGAAGUGAAACAUCUCAGUACCUGGAGGAAAAGAAAACAAUAGUGAUUCCCUGAGUAGUGGCGAGCGAAAGGGGAAAAACUUGCCUAAACCGAUUGACACGUAAAAGCCUGCAAGCGUUGUGUCAGUCGGGGUAGUGGGAAUUAUCCAGACCGAAUUGCAGUAAGGUCGGAGAGUCAAAAACCGAAAAAUUAGCCGAAUUACUUGGAAAAGUAAACCAUAGAGAGUGAAAGUCUCGUAGGCGAAAAUUUUUCGGCUCUCUGGGAUAAUCUCCCGAGUACCACGGAAUAAGUGGAAGUCUGUGGGAAUCUGCCAGAACCAUCUGGUAAGGCUAAAUACUCUCUUGUGACCGAUAGUGAACCAGUACCGUGAGGGAAAGGUGAAAAGCACCCUUAAGAAGGGAGUGAAAUAGAACCUGAAACCGUGUGCUUACAAACGGUCGGAGUCCAUUUAUAAUGGAUGACGACGUGCCUUCUGGAUAAUGAGCCAACGAGUUGCUCGUGCGUUGCAAGGUUAAUCCGCUUAGCGGAGUAGCCGGAGCGAAAGCGAGUCCGAAUAGGGCGUUAAGUAACGCGCGGCAGACGCGAAACCGGGUGAUCUACCGUUGGCCAGGAUGAAGUGGCGGUAACACGCCAUGGAGGUCCGAACCGAUGUGGGUUGAAAACCGCUCGGAUGAGCUGACGGUAGGAGCGAAAGACCAAUCAAACUCGGUGAUAGCUCGUACUCCCCGAAAUAGCUUUAGGGCUAGCCUCGUAGUAUAGUGUCAUGGAGGUAGAGCACUGAUUGGGCUAGGGCCGUCACAACGGUACCAAACCCAGACAAACUCCGAAUUCCAUUGACAUGUUCUACGGGAGUCAGGCAGUGAGGGAUAAGCUCCAUUGCCAAAAGGGAAACAACCCAGAUCGCCAGCUAAGGUCCCCAAAUACCAGUUAACAGAGAAAGGAUGUUGAGUUGCUCAGACAACUAGGAUGUUGGCUUAGAAGCAGCCAUUCAUUUAAAGAGUGCGUAAUAGCUCACUAGUCAAGCGACUCGGCGUCGACAAUUCUCGGGACUCAAACUGGUUACCGAAGCUGCGAAUCCCGAUUAAUUCGGGGUGGUAGGGGAGCAUUCUAUGUAGGAACCACGAAGUGGUAUCCCGACUUUGUCGGGAUGAAGGUGCGGCGUGAGCCGUGCUGGACUGCAUAGAAAAGCAAAUGUUGGCAUAAGUAACGAUAAGGUCGAUGAAAAAUCGGCCCACCGAAAGUCUAAGGUUUCCUGAGCAACGUUAAUCGUCUCAGGGUUAGUCGGACCCUAAGCCGAGGCUGAAAGGCGUAGGUGAUGGGAAACAGGUUAAUAUUCCUGUACCUGGUGAAUUUCGUUUGACUCUAAGGGGUGACGCAGGAGUGAAAGGUCAGCCACCUGCCGGCCUUAGGUGGUCUAAGCGGGUAGAUGGAGGAUGUAGGUAAAUCCGCAUCCUCGUUAACAUCGAGACGCGACGGGGAGUCCGUAAGGACACAAACUGACCCUAAUCACACUGCCAAGAAAAACCUCGUAGAGGAGAGAUUCAUCAGUCCGUACCGCAAACCGACACAGGUAGACGGGAUGAGUAUUCUAAGGUGCUCGAGUGAGCCGUGGUUAAGGAACUCGGCAAAUUGACCCCGUAACUUCGGGAUAAGGGGUGCCCUAAGUAGGUAACAAUCCUCGCGGUUGGAGCCGAACAGGGUCGCAGUGAAAUGGGCCAAGCGACUGUUUAUCAAAAACACAGGUCUCUGCGAAGUCAAUUAAGACGACGUAUAGGGACUGACACCUGCCCGGUGCUGGAAGGUUAAGGGGAUGGGUUAUCUCUCCGAGCGAUCGGAGGGAGAAGCUCUGAACCGAAGCCCCAGUAAACGGCGGCCGUAACUAUAACGGUCCUAAGGUAGCGAAAUUCCUUGUCGGGUAAGUUCCGACCUGCACGAAUGGUGUAACGACUUGGUCACUGUCUCAACCACGGGCUCGGUGAAAUUGUGGUACCGGUGAAGACGCCGGUUACCCGCAUAUGGACGGAAAGACCCCGUGCACCUUUACUGCACCCUAGCAUUGGGUUCGAGUAAGGCAUGUGUAGGAUAGGUGGGAGACUAUGAAGCCUCGACGCUAGUCGGGGUGGAGUCGACGGUGAAAUACCACC